GAGUUCCCAUGUUAGAAGCAGGCCUGAGAGUGCUGCUCUCUUCUGCAGAGACAAUCCUAGUAAUACUAAAAGGUUCAAGAAGACCAGACCUCCACAGCCUCCAAAGGCCACUCACCACAUUAGAUCUCUGCACAAAGCCAGAAGUUAUUCCCCACUGCCUGUGACCAAGUCUUGCAGGUGCCUCUCAGCCCGCUUGGUUGCCCUUCAUCACUUGGCAUCUGAAUAGCAGUGGCCAAUGAAUGAAGAGUCUUGUAUACCAAGGAGAUAUCAAACUUUGCAGAAGGCAGAAGCAGAGGGAACACUUCUUAACCCAUUCUCUGAGGCCAGCAUCACCCAUCUUCGCUGCGGCGGUCGCAGUGAUGCAGGGGAGGGAGCCAGCAGGCAGCGAGUCUACAAAGUGUCCUCCUCAUGGAUGUGGCACCAAGAGACCCAGCAUGGAGCUGACGCGGCGGCACUAGCCUCUGUUUUUUAACUUUUAGUAAUAACUAUUCUGACUGAUGUAAAAGGGUGUCUUAUAGUGGUUCCAAUUUGCAUUCUUCUGAUGAUUAGUGAUACUGAUUUUUUAAAAUGUUUAUUGGCCAUUUGUAUGUCUUCUUUUGAAAAAUGUCCAUUUAUGUCCUUUUUCCUGGGCUUGUUUUUUUUUUUCUUUUUUCUUUUCACAUAGAGAGGGGAGCAAAGUUCCAUUUUUUUUUCUUUUCCUCUCAUUUUGUUGUUUGAGCUCCUUGUA
rnacentral:lncRNA from 1 species